rnacentral:rRNA from 1 species
UACGUAGGGUGCAAGCGUUGUCCGGAAUUAUUGGGCGUAAAGGGCUCGUAGGCGGUCCAUCGCGUCGGGGAGUGAAAAGCUGGGGCUUAACCCCAGUCCUGCUUCCGAUACGGGUGGACUAGAGGUAGGUAGGGGGAGAUCGGAAUUCCUGGUGUAGCGGUGAAAUGCGCAGAUAUCAGGAGGAACACCGGUGGCGAAGGCGGAUCUCUGGGCCUUACCUGACGCUGAGGAGCGAAAGCAUGGGGAGCAAACAGG